GAUGAACGCUAGCGGCAGGCCUAACACAUGCAAGUCGAGGGGUAACAUAGAGUGCUUGCACUCUGAUGACGACCGGCGCACGGGUGAGUAACGCGUAUACAAUCUGCCUCAUACUAGGGGAUAGCCCAGAGAAAUUUGGAUUAAUACCCUAUAGUAUCUUUUAGAGUCAUCUCUUUAAGAUUAAAGGCUACGGUAUGAGAUGAGUAUGCGUUCUAUUAGUUAGUAGGUGAGGUAACGGCUCACCUAGACCACGAUAGAUAGGGGCCCUGAGAGGGGGAUCCCCCACACUGGUACUGAGACACGGACCAGACUCCUACGGGAGGCAGCAGUGAGGAAUAUUAGACAAUGGGCGAAAGCCUGAUCUAGCCAUGCCGCGUGCAGGAUGACGGCCCUAUGGGUUGUAAACUGCUUUUAUACAGGAAGAAACCUUGGUACGUGUACCAAGCUGACAGUACUGUAAGAAUAAGGAUCGGCUAACUCCGUGCCAGCAGCCGCGGUAAUACGGAGGAUCCAAGCGUUAUCCGGAAUCAUUGGGUUUAAAGGGUCCGUAGGUGGAUAAUUAAGUCAGGGGUGAAAUCUUGCAGCUCAACUGUAAAAUUGCCUUUGAUACUGGUUAUCUUGAGUCAUUAUGAAGUAGUUAGAAUAUGUAGUGUAGCGGUGAAAUGCAUAGAUAUUACAUAGAAUACCAAUUGCGAAGGCAGAUUACUAAUAAUGUACUGACACUGAUGGACGAAAGCGUGGGUAGCGAACAGGAUUAGAUACCCUGGUAGUCCACGCCGUAAACGAUGGUUACUAGCUGUGUGGACUUCGGUCUGCGUGGCUAAGCGAAAGUGAUAAGUAACCCACCUGGGGAGUACGUUCGCAAGAAUG
rnacentral:rRNA from 1 species